rnacentral:misc_RNA from 1 species
GAAGAAACGAGAAAAAAAGAGAAUCCAAGCCAAUAAUCAAUACAAAAGGGAUGAUCAACCAAAACCCAAAUCAGAUACACCAAAGGCGAGUGAAAAUAAAGUUGUGAAGAAGGAAGAGCCUGAAAAUGCAAACCAAUCUACAACUAGGAUGGAUGGCAAUUGUAGUAGCGCUACCCGAGAUGGUGAAACUGAUGGAAUUAAAAUUAAUGGAGUGAAUAGGGCACGGGCGUUUAAAUUUAAUGAACUGGUGGCCGCAACAGAAAAUUUUAAAGCAGCCUACUUCUUGGGUGAAGGUGGCUUUGGCAAAGUAUACAAAGGUUUUUUGGCAGAUACUGGUCAGGUUGUAGCCAUCAAACAACUCAACCCCGAUGGAUGUCAGGGAAACAGGGAAUUCAUUGUGGAAGUACUCACUCUAAGUAUGGCUGACCACCCCAAUCUUGUUAAAUUAAUUGGCUAUUGUGUCGAGGGACAUCAUAGGGUGUUGGUCUAUGAGUAUAUGCCUCUUGGUUCAUUAGAAGACCAUUUACAUGACCCUUGGUCAGAUAAAAAGCGCCUUGAUUGGAACACCAGAAUGAUGAUAGCUGCAGGUGCUGCAAGGGGCCUGGAGUAUUUGCAUGACAAAAUGAAACCGCCUGUUAUUUAUCGUGACUUGAAGGGCUCUAAUAUUCUGCUUGGAGAGGGGUACCAUCCUAAGUUAUCUGAUUUUGGCUUGGCUAAAGUUGGUCCUCUUGGAGACAAGACCCAUGUCUCUACUAGAGUGAUGGGCACAUAUGGAUAUUGUGCACCAGAUUAUGCUAUGACUGGCCAACUGACAUUCAAGUCAGAUAUCUACAGCUUUGGGGUUGUUCUUCUGGAGAUAAUCACAGGCAGGAGAGCGAUUGACUAUACAAAAUCUGCCACGGAGCAAAACCUGGUUUCUUGGGCAAGACCAUUAUUCAAAGACAGGAAGAAAUUCUACAAAAUGGCAGAUCCAGCACUUGAUGGUCACUAUCCAAUAAGGAGCUUAUACCAAGCUCUUGCAAUUGCUGCAAUGUGUGUCCAGGAGCAACCUAAUAUGCGUCCUCCAAUUGUUGAUAUCGUCACUGCUUUGAGCUACCUUGCCUCCUUAAAGUAUGACCCUGAAAUCGAGCCUCCUAUCCGGAAGUCAUACAAAAGUCAAUCUCCUCAGAAAUCUAUAAAAGACGAUGAUGAAACCUGGUAAUGUGGUGAAUGGAAACGAUACAACAAAGCUUUGAGAACUCAAAUAAGAACUGAAAAAUACACAAACACAAGUGGUUGUCUACUUUUUUGUGUCACAUAUGUACAUUACAGAUGCAGCUUUAAAAUCAUAGAUUGGAAGUAAUAAAAAUAAAAAAGAAACAAUGCCUCCUUCGCAUAUCUGGUGCAAAUGCAAGCUCCAGCGCCAUAGCAUAUAUAAUAUGUAAAAGCUCUAUGCUUCUAUGAUAUACUGAGAAAAAGUAAUCACUGU